AGUAAUUUGGUCUGUGCCAACUUAUCUACUUGGAUAGAGAUAUAUAUAUAUAUAUAUUUAUAUAUAUAUAUAUAUAUAUAUCUUUAUCUCUCUAUCCAAGUAGAUAAGUUGGCACAGACCAAAUUACU